rnacentral:rRNA from 1 species
AAACGGGUGCGGAACACGUACACAACCUUCCUUUAAGUGGGGGAUAGCCCAGAGAAAUUUGGAUUAAUACCCCGUAAGAUUAUGAGAUGGCAUCAUUUUAUAAUUAAAGCUCCGGCGCUUGAAGAUGGGUGUGCGGCUGAUUAGGUAGUUGGCGGGGUAACGGCCCACCAAGCCAACGAUCAGUAACUGGUGUGAGAGCACGACCAGUCACACGGGCACUGAGACACGGGCCCG